AACAGCAGGAGUGAGCCGAAACUCGGCAACCCAAGAUGGUUCGCCGAACACUCAACAGGACGCCCGCCUUGAAGCACCAGGUAAGCCCGAAGCCGGGCUUUCACAUGAAGCGGUGGGGGACCGGAGUAGCA
rnacentral:lncRNA from 1 species